rnacentral:lncRNA from 1 species
GCCUCCCAGUACCCCCAGUAUCCCUCCCAGUGCUUUCCAGUACACCCCCAGUCCCUCCCAGUCCCUCCCAGUGCCCCCAGUAUCCCCCCCAACGCCCUCCCAGCAUCCCCAGUGCCCCCCCAUGGCCCCCCAGUCCCCUCCCAGCAUCUCCCAGCGCCUCCCAGUCCCCUCCCAGUGCCUCCCAGUGCCCCCAGUAUCCCUCCCAGUGCCCCCGCUCACCGAUGAUGUUGGGCACGAACAGGAAGACAUUCCUGCUCCCCUCGCCGCCCGCCAUGGCCCCCCCCGCCCCCCGCGGUGGUCCCGUCCGACGCCGCCGCGGCCCCUUUAAGAGCGGCCGGAACCAACCGCACCGCGGGGGGGAACGCGCGCGGGGCUCUGCGCAUGCGCGGAGGAGGCGAAGCGCGCACCGCCCUUCCUGCGCAUGCGCCUAACGCUCCUCUCCCCCCAACCCCUCCCCGCGGCAGGCCCCGCGCAUGCGCGCUGCGGGAAGGCGCGGCCGCGGCCACGUGACGCGCGGCAGCCAAUGGGCGCGGCGGGGCUGUUGCCAUGGCAACAAGGGGAUGGGGAAGAAGCGGCCUAGUUAGAGCGCGGCUAAUUAAUGAAGGCGAUUAAUUAAAGGGCGCGGAAUUAAUUAGGGAGCCGCUGAGGUGUGAUUAACGAGCGUUUAAUUAAUAAAAAUACAGAUAAUUAAUUAAUUAGCGCUCCGGUAAUUAAAUUAUAACCGCGGAGGCCGCUCCGGGGACCGCCAGGCCCCAAGAUGGCCGCCAGGCCCCGCCCCCCCCCGCGUAUUGCGUCACAAAGGGGGCGGGGCCGGGAGGGGGCGGGGCCGAUCUGUGCGUGGCCACGCCCAGGCCGGGGUGUGGGGGAGGGGGGGGGGGGCUGGGGGGGGGGGGAGGCGGGAGCGGAACCCCCCCCCCAAUUUGUUGGCCUUGGGGAAGAGGCGGAAGAGGCCCCGCUCCGAGGCCAGGCCCAGCCCCUGCAGCACCCCAAAAACGGGCCGGGGGCCACCAGGAGGUAGAGGGGGAGGAAGAGCCAGGGGGAGGCCAGGAGGCGCGAGGCCAGGAGCAGGGCGGGGACGUGGAGGGGGGGCAGGAUUUGGGGGAAAAAACGGGGGAUUUGGGGCACCGGCAGGGGGCGGCGGGGGGCCAGGGGGGGCCUCAGACCCAGCAGGGGCCCCAAAAGGAGGAGGAGGAGGAGGAGGAGCAGGGGGAGGGGCAGGAAGGCCGGGGGGGCGAGGGCCAGCGCCAGCCCCGCCCCCAGCAGGGCCCCGCCCCCUCCCCAGCCGGCCCAGCACGGGAGGCCACGCCCACCUGCGGCGGGAGGCUCCGCCCCCAGCUCAGGCUCCGCCCCCAGCUCAGGCUCCGCCCCCUCCUCCUGUGGCUCCGCCUCCUCGCGGGGCUCCUCCUCCUCCUCCUCGGGGGGCGGGGCCUGGAAAGGGCGGGGCCAGUGGGGGUGAGAAAUGGGGGCGGAGCCUCAGCCCCAUAGACGUGGGGCAGGGACCCCCCAGUGCCCCAUAGAUGUGGGGCAGAGCCCCCCAAGUGCCCCCUGACUUACGUCCUGGGCCUCGCUGCCGGAGCCGUCGGGGGGCGGGCAGGAGCCUUCCUCGCCCCCUUCCUCACCCCCCUCCUCUUCCUCCUCCUCCUCCUCUUCCUCGUCCUCUGGCCCCGAGGCGUUGGUGGCACUGGUGGCACUGGUGGCACUGAUGGUGCUGCUGCUGCGGCUGGCCAGGCUGCCAUCCCCCGGAGACUCCUGGGGACACUGGGGUGAGGGGGGGGGGUACUGGGAGGGGACUGGGAGCAUUGGGAGGUGCUGGGAGGGGACUGGGAGCACUGGGAGGGGACUGGGGGGCACUGGGGGGGUACUGGGAGGGAACUGGGAGGCACUGGAGAGCACUGGGAGGCAUCGUAGGGAGUCUGUGGGGUGUUAUAGGGGGGCUGUGGGGCACUGUGGGGGGUUAUGGGGUCUUUAUGGGGUCUCUGGGGGUCCCUAUGGGGUCUGUGGGGUCCCUGGGGUCUCACCUGGGCGCUGUUCCCGUGCCCCCCCCAUGCCGGGCGGCGCCGGGGGGGCUCCAGGAGCUGCAGCAGCCGGG